AGCUCCGUGGUGAAUUUCAUAUUGGGUUGCAAACCCGAAGAUGUAGGCUACCCCCUGCCGGGGCUU
rnacentral:tRNA from 2 species